rnacentral:rRNA from 1 species
UGCCAGCCGCCGCGGUAAUACGGAUGGUGCAAGCGUUAUUCGGAAUCACUGGGCAUAAAGAGCACGUAGGCGGCUGCAUAAGUCAGUGGUGAAAUCCCUCAGCUCAACUGGGGAACUGCCAUUGAUACUGUGCGGCUAGAAUGCGGGAGGGGCAGAUGGAAUUCCAGGUGGAGCGGUGAAAUGCGUAGAUAUCUGGAGGAACGCCGGAGGCGAAAGCGAUCUGCUGGCCCGAAAUUGACGCUGAGGUGCGAAAGCUAGGGGAGCAAACGGGAUUAGAUA